rnacentral:rRNA from 1 species
GACGAACGCUGGCGGCGUGCCUAAUACAUGCAAGUAGAACGCUGAAGAGAGGAGCUUGCUCUUCUUGGAUGAGUUGCGAACGGGUGAGUAACGCGUAGGUAACCUGCCUUGUAGCGGGGGAUAACUAUUGGAAACGAUAGCUAAUACCGCAUAACAAUGGAUGACACAUGUCAUUUAUUUGAAAGGGGCAAUUGCCCCACUACAAGAUGGACCUGCGUUGUAUUAGCUAGUAGGUGAGGUAACGGCUCACCUAGGCGACGAUACAUAGCCGACCUGAGAGGGUGAUCGGCCACACUGGGACUGAGACACGGCCCAGACUCCUACGGGAGGCAGCAGUAGGGAAUCUUCGGCAAUGGGGGCAACCCUGACCGAGCAACGCCGCGUGAGUGAAGAAGGUUUUCGGAUCGUAAAGCUCUGUUGUAAGUCAAGAACGAGUGUGAGAGUGGAAAGUUCACACUGUGACGGUAGCUUACCAGAAAGGGACGGCUAACUACGUGCCAGCAGCCGCGGUAAUACGUAGGUCCCGAGCGUUGUCCGGAUUUAUUGGGCGUAAAGCGAGCGCAGGCGGUUUGAUAAGUCUGAAGUUAAAGGCUGUGGCUCAACCAUAGUUCGCUUUGGAAACUGUCAAACUUGAGUGCAGAAGGGGAGAGUGGAAUUCCAUGUGUAGCGGUGAAAUGCGUAGAUAUAUGGAGGAACACCGGUGGCGAAAGCGGCUCUCUGGUCUGUAACUGACGCUGAGGCUCGAAAGCGUGGGGAGCGAACAGG